UACGAAGGGGGCUAGCGUUGCUCGGAAUCACUGGGCGUAAAGGGCGCGUAGGCGGCGUUUUAAGUCGGGGGUGAAAGCCUGUGGCUCAACCUCGGAACUGCCUUUGAUACUGGGGAUCUUGAGUCCGGAAGAGGUGAGUGGAACUGCGAGUGUAGAGGUGAAAUUCGUAGAUAUUCGCAAGAACACCAGUGGCGAAGGCGGCUCACUGGACCGUUGUUGACGCUGAGGUGCGAAAGCGUGGGGAGCAAACAGG
rnacentral:rRNA from 1 species